rnacentral:rRNA from 1 species
UAAAAGAAUGGAAGUUUAAAAAAAUUCUUUUUUAAAAUUAAAAAUUGAAUUUUUUUUAAUUUGUGAAUAAACAAUUAUAAAAAUUAAAGACAAGAAGACCCUAAGAAUUUGAAGAUCAAAUAAAUAAAAAAUUUUUUAUUUAUUUGAUCUUGAUUGGGGCGAUCAAAAAAUAUUAAUAACUUUUUAAAUUAAAAUGAUCUAUUAAUAAUAAACUAAUGAAAUAAAUACUCUAGGGAUAACAGCGUAAUAAUUUUUGAUAGAUCUUAUAGACAAAAUAGUUUGCGACCUCGAUGUUGGAUUAGGAUUCUUAUUUAAUGAAGAUGUUAAAUAAAGAAGUUUGUUCAACUUUUAAAUUCCUACAUGAUCU